rnacentral:rRNA from 1 species
CACGUAGGCGGCUUUGUAAGUUAGAGGUGAAAGCCCGGGGCUCAACCCCGGAAUAGCCUUUAAGACUGCAUCGCUUGAACACGGGAGAGGUGAGUGGAAUUCCGAGUGUAGAGGUGAAAUUCGUAGAUAUUCGGAAGAACACCAGUGGCGAAGGCGGCUCACUGGACCGUUGUUGACGCUGAGGUGCGAAAGCGUGGGGAGAAAC